rnacentral:lncRNA from 1 species
UGAUAGGAUUCAAUAGAUCUAGAAAGAAAAUCACCACACAGAAUUCAAAGAAACAGAGAAAAUUAUAUUGUAUUAUUGAUUUGAAAUUGGGUUAGAGAUCAAACGGGAUCUAACCAUGUAUACAAUAUAAAGUGAAGAAGGAAAGAAAUAAAAAUGCAGGAAUUUAAGAUAGAAUAAGCAAUUCGAGCUGCUUAACACUCCUCUGCAAUGACUGCAAUUGAAUCAAUCCGUAACCAACUCUCCAUGAUGGGUUCCGUAUAAAAAGGAUCUAGAGCCCUUCUCUCUCUGCCACGUAUUUAGUCACAUCUGAUGCAUUUAAUUGAUUUGCAUCA